rnacentral:tRNA from 1 species
GCCGAGGUGGCGGAACAGGCAGACGCGCAGGACUUAAAAUCCUGUAGUAGCAAUACUGUGCGGGUUCGAUCCCCGCCCUCGGCACCA